rnacentral:rRNA from 1 species
AUUGAACGCUGGCGGCAGGCCUAACACAUGCAAGUCGAGCGAGCGGCGGACGGGUGAGUACUGUCUAGCAAACUGCCUGAUGGAGGGGGCUAACUACUGGAAACGGUAGCUACUACCGCAUACCAUCAGAUCUGCCCAGAUGGGAUUAGCUGGUGGGUGGGGUAACGGCUCACCUAGGCGACGAUCCCUAGCUGGGCUGAGAGGAUGACCAGCCAAACGGGAACUGAGAGACGGGCCAGACUCCUACGGGAGGCAGCAGGGGGGAAGAGGGGACAAUGGGCGAAAGCCUGAUGCAGCCAUGCCGCGUGGGUGAAGAAGGCCUUCGGGUUGUAAAGCACUAUCAGCGGUGAGUCGUUACCUGCAGAAGAAGCACCGGCUAACUCCGUGCCAGCCGCCGCGGUAAUUC